rnacentral:misc_RNA from 1 species
GCCUUCAGAACUUGUUGGUCAGCAGACCGAAGAGUAGCUCAGGUUGAAUAUAAUGCAAAUGGUACAACCAAAAUGAUACUCAGCAGAAGUAAAAUAGUGAUGCGGAGAGAACGCCCAAAUUGCAUGCAAUUCUGUGAACUUGGAGUAUGUCGGUGGAGUACACCUGCCUUUCCGACAAGAUGCUGAUCAUUUGAAAUUUUA